rnacentral:misc_RNA from 1 species
UGGCUCUCGCAUCGAUGAAGAACGCAGCGAAAUGUGAUAAGUAAUGUGAAUUGCAGAAUUCAGUGAAUCAUCGAAUCUUUGAACGCAUCUUGCGCUCCUUGGUAUUCCGAGGAGCAUGCCUGUUUGAGUGUCAUGAAUAUCUCAAACCCUCUGAUCUUUAUGGUCAAGCAGGGCUUUGGACUUGGGAUUAUAGCUGGCGAAAGCCUGCUGUCCUUAAAUUCAUUAGCUGGAUUAUUCCCUCGUGCCACCCAGUGUGAUAAUAUCUACAUUGCUGUGGAUCACGGCGAGUGCUUACCCUGUUUGUUCAGAGUUGUAACCUCGAUAAAAGAUAAUCUGCUUCGAAUUGUCUGUCUCACAGACAACAUAACCUCUGACAUCUGACCUCAAAUCAGGUAGGACUACCCGCUGA